rnacentral:rRNA from 1 species
GAUGAACGCUGGCGGCGUGCUUAACACAUGCAAGUCGAACGGUGAAGCAGGAGCUUGCUCUUGUGGAUCAGUGGCGAACGGGUGAGUAACACGUGAGCAACCUGCCCCUGACGCUGGGAUAAGCGCUGGAAACGGCGUCUAAUACUGGAUAUGUGAUGUGAUCGCAUUGUAUGCAUCGGGAAAGAAUUUCGGUUGGGGAUGGGCUCGCGGCCUAUCAGCUUGUUGGUGAGGUAAUGGCUCACCAAUGCGCCGACGGGUAGCCGGCCUGAGAGGGUGACCGGCCACACUGGGACUGAGACACGGCCCAGACUCCUACGGGAGGCAGCAGUGGGGAAUAUUGCACAAUGGGCGGAAGCCUGAUGCAGCAACGCCGCGUGAGGGAUGACGACCUUCGGGUUGUAAACCUCUUUUAGCAGGGAAGAAGCGAAAGUGACGGUACCUGCAGAAAAAGCACCGGCUAACUACGUGCCAGCAGCCGCCGUAA